GUACUCCUCUCCAUAUUCAUUGUAGACAACUUUGAAGAAUUUGGCUGCUUCUAUCUUUCGUUUAACGACAUCAUCUAUAUUUGUUUCUAUGCUCAAGGUCGGAAUAUAUUAUUCAAGGUCUGCCCAUAUUCCUUGGUAGGUUUUUGCUCUCUGUGAAAACAUAGGAUAUGCAUGGCACAUGAUCUCCUAUAUUUCUUUGUCUGUUAAUAGUGAAGGAUGAUAGUAUAAUUGCCGAAGUUUGUUCCUGCAUGCAAGUGAGAAUGUGAAAGCCAAGAUAAUAUAUUGAACUAUUAUUGUUUGUUUACGCUUUUUUAUAUUAUGCUAAACACUUUAAAUGAAAGUGAUUAUGAUUAUUGAAAUAUGCAAUUGUUAUGGCAAUUAACGUUCCUAGCUGACUCAGUUAUGUUUUGUUUACUUACACAUCGUUAUCCACUCUUACUAGCAUCUGUAGGAAAUGUUUGAAUUCUCCAGGAUAAUCGUGUUCCUCUGGAUGCAGCUUCUCGACCAAGCGAUAUAGGGAUUCUGGGUACAGAGUUUGAUACUCUUCAUGGUUCAAUGUGUACCUUCCUCCGGCAUUUACAACUAUAUUGUCAACGGUUAGUUUGCCUAUUAAGUUUCCAUUUCUCAUCAUGUUGACGCAGUUCCGAAUGGUGUCCUUGCAUUUUUUUUAGGAGAUCAAAUAACACAAUUAACCAAAAUUGAUUUUUUCCAAGACAAAGUGCAUAAUAUGUAGAUAAAUUAUGAGACUUGUAAUAGGGUAGCAGAAUGAUAUGUUAAUUCUUUAUUAUCUUAUAUAUGUUAUACUUUCUUGUCCAAAGUGUGGUUUUUUGUUUUUUUGUUUUUGUUUUGAGUUUUGUUGAUUUGGUACAGAUUGUGGUGGUGAUGAUGAGAGAUGUGUGUGGGGUUGGACACAAGAAGGUCUCUUGAGGUUCUGCAUAACUCGUCUCUGAUUUUUGCAGAGGAGAGGAUUCCUAUGAAGGACCCUAUUGACGAGUUUCAUAAGUACAUUGGUGGUUAGAAAAUAUCAGCAAUGAUCAUUAUUGGGCUGUGAGUUCUUGUAAUCUUUAUAUUAGUUGCAACAAUCAUUUGUUUAGUGCUAAUUUCAAUUUCGAUUCACAGUAUUAAGUACUAGAUUGUGUAAUUGAAAAUCUUCCAGUUCUCAUCAACAGAGGCAUGCAUACAUUAUGAUUAUAAAUCAGUUAUGUAAGGUGACCGUGAUUGUAAUGCACGUAUCUUUUGUAUGAUAUUGAAAACUACAAC
rnacentral:lncRNA from 1 species